AGAAGGUAAUAAUCCUGUAGUCGAAAAUGUUGUCUCUCUUGAGUGGAUCCUGAGUACGACGGAGCACGUGAAAUUCCGUCGGAAUCUGGGAGGACCAUCUCCUAAGGCUAAAUACUCUCUAGUGACCGAUAGUGAACCAGUACCGUGAGGGAAAGGUGAAAAGCACCCCGGAAGGGGAGUGAAAUAGAACCUGAAACCGUGUGCUUACAAGUAGUCAGAGCCCGUUAAUGGGUGAUGGCGUGCCUUUUGUAGAAUGAACCGGCGAGUUACGAUUUGAUGCAAGGUUAAGCAGUAAAUGUGGAGCCGUAGCGAAAGCGAGUCUGAAUAGGGCGUUUAGUAUUUGGUCGUAGACCCGAAACCAGGUGAUCUACCCUUGGUCAGGUUGAAGUUCAGGUAACACUGAAUGGAGGACCGAACCGACUUACGUUGAAAAGUGAGCGGAUGAACUGAGGGUAGCGGAGAAAUUCCAAUCGAACCUGGAGAUAGCUGGUUCUCUCCGAAAUAGCUUUAGGGCUAGCCUCAAGUGAUGAUUAUUGGAGGUAGAGCACUGUUUGGACGAGGGGCCCCUCUCGGGUUACCGAAUUCAGACAAACUCCGAAUGCCAAUUAAUUUAACUUGGGAGUCAGAACAUGGGUGAUAAGGUCCGUGUUCGAAAGGGAAACAGCCCAGACCACCAGCUAAGGUCCCAAAAUAUAUGUUAAGUGGAAAAGGAUGUGGCGUUGCCCAGACAACUAGGAUGUUGGCUUAGAAGCAGCCAUCAUUUAAAGAGUGCGUAAUAGCUCACUAGUCGAGUGACACUGCGCCGAAAAUGUACCGGGGCUAAACAUAUUACCGAAGCUGUGGAUUGUCCUUUGGACAAUGGUAGGAGAGCGUUCUAAGGGCGUUGAAGCAUGAUCGUAAGGACAUGUGGAGCGCUUAGAAGUGAGAAUGCCGGUGUGAGUAGCGAAAGACGGGUGAGAAUCCCGUCCACCGAUUGACUAAGGUUUCCAGAGGAAGGCUCGUCCGCUCUGGGUUAGUCGGGUCCUAAGCUGAGGCCGACAGGCGUAGGCCAUGGAUAACAGGUUGAUAUUCCUGUACCACCUAUA
rnacentral:rRNA from 1 species